UAAGGAAUAUUGGUCAAUGGACGCAAGUCUGAACCAGCCAUGCCGCGUGAAGGAUGAAGGUCCUCUGGAUUGUAAACUUCUUUUAUCUGGGACGAAAACGGGAUUUUUAUCUCAAUUGACGGUACCAGAGGAAUAAGCACCGGCUAACUCCGUGCCAGCAGCCGCGGUAAUACGGAGGGUGCGAGCGUUAUCCGGAUUUACUGGGUUUAAAGGGUGCGUAGGUGGGCUUAUAAGUCAGUGGUGAAAUCUCCGAGCUUAACUUGGAAACUGCCGUUGAUACUAUAGCUCUUGAAUUAUCUGGAGGUAAGCGGAAUAUGUCAUGUAGCGGUGAAAUGCUUAGAUAUGACAUAGAACACCAAUUGCGAAGGCAGCUUACUACAUAUAAAUUGACGCUGAGGCACGAAAGCGUGGGGAUCAAACG
rnacentral:rRNA from 1 species